rnacentral:rRNA from 1 species
GAGACAGCAGUAGCCGCGGUAAUACAGAGGGUGCGAGCGUUAAUCGGAUUUACUGGGCGUAAAGCGUGCGUAGGCGGCUUCUUAAGUCGGAUGUGAAAUCCCUGAGCUUAACUUAGGAAUUGCAUUCGAUACUGGGAAGCUAGAGUAUGGGAGAGGAUGGUAGAAUUCCAGGUGUAGCGGUGAAAUGCGUAGAGAUCUGGAGGAAUACCGAUGGCGAAGGCAGCCAUCUGGCCUAAUACUGACGCUGAGGUACGAAAGCAUGGGGAGCAAACAGGAUUAGAUACCCCCGUAGUCCCUGUCUCUUAUAA